AGAGCGCUUGGGGGAUGCCUAGGCUCUUGGAGGCUAUGAAGGACGUGGUAAGCUGCGAAAAGCUGCGGGGAUUUGCAAACGAGAUUCGAUCCGCAGAUAUCCGAAUGGGACAACCCGGCAGGCGGAAGGCCUGUCACACUGCAAAGUGAGCCAACCCUCUGAACUGAAACAUCUUAGUAGGAGGAGGAAAAGAAAGAAACAUCGAUUACCUAAGUAGCGGCGAGCGAACGGGUAAGAGCCUAAACCGGAAGUGUUACGGCACUUUCGGGGUUGUAGGACUGCAACAACGUUUUGGACGAAGAACCGGAAGUACCUGGAAAGGUAUGCCGCAGAGAGUGAAAGCCUCGUACGGGCAAUUCGGUUCAAUGCAAGCAGUAUCCUGAGUAGGGCGGGACACGAGGAAUCCUGUCUGAAUCUGCCGGGACCACCCGGUAAGGCUAAAUACUCCCAAGAGACCGAUAGUGAACCAGUACCGUGAGGGAAAGGUGAAAAGAACCCCGAACAGGGGAGUGAAAAAGAACCUGAAACCAAGUGCUUACAACCUGUCGGAGCCGCUAAGUGCGGUGACGGCGUGCCUAUUGAAUAAUGAGCCUACGAGUUACUAAUCACUAGCGAGGUUAAGUGCUGGGAAGCACGGAGCCGAAGCGAAAGCGAGUCUGAAAAGGGCGGUUAGUUAGUGGUUGUAGACGCGAAACCUUGCGAUCUACCCUUGAGCAGGAUGAAGGUUGGGUAAAACCAACUGGAGGUCCGCACCAAUAAACGUUGAAAAGUUUCUGGAUGACUUGAGGGUAGGGGUGAAAGGCUAAUCAAGCUGGGAAAUAGCUCGUACUCCCCGAAAUGCCUUUAGGGGCAGCGUUGUAAUAAAGAGUCUACUGGAGGUAGAGCUACUGAUUGGAUGCGGGGGCUUCACCGCCUACCAAAUCCUGACAAACUCCGAAUGCCAGUAGUAUGAUUUACAGCAGUGAGCGACCGGGUGCUAAUGUCCGGUCACAAAAGAGGAACAACUCAGACCAGCAACUAAGGUCCCCAAGAAUAUGCUAAGUUGAACUAACGAUGUUUUGUUGCAGAGACAGCUAGGAUGUUAGCUUGGAAGCAGCUAUUCAUUCAAAGAGUGCGUAACAGCUCACUAGUCGAGCGACAGAGCGUGGAUAAUAAACGGGCAUCAAGCAUAUCACCGAAGUUCUGGGCGCGAGAGUGCGGUAGGGGAGCAUUCCAUUCCGCGUUGAAGCCGAACCGUGAGGUUUGGUGGAGUGUAUGGAAAAGCAAAUGUAGGCAUGAGUAACGAUAAUGCGGGAGAGUAACCCGCACACCGCAAGACCAAGGUUUCCUGAUCAACGCUAAUCGGAUCAGGGUUAGUCGGGUCCUAAGGGUAAGCCGAACGGCGAUCUCGAUGGAUAAUCGGUUAAUAUUCCGAUACUGACAUAUAUUUCGAUGGAGAGACGAAGGAACGUAAGUGCCGCCACCUGACGGAAUAGGUGGUUAAAGGGCGUAGGUAUAGGGGCAGAUUAAGAGUUAGUCCUUGCUGAAACCUGACAGUACAGAGAGCCUACGGGCAAUUUGAUAGUGCACCCAAGUCGACUUCCGAGAAAAUCUUCUAAGGCUAGGUAUAUGUCACCCGUACCGUAAACCGACACAGGUGGUCGAGGAGAGUAUCCUAAGGUGCUCGAGUGAAUCACGGUUAAGGAACUAGGCAAAUUAACCCCGUAACUUCGGGAAAAGGGGUCCCUAUGAAAGUAGGGCGCAGCGAAGAGGUCCAGGCGACUGUUUAUCAAAAACACAGGGCUCUGCAAAUUCGAAAGAAGACGUAUAGGGCCUGACACCUGCCCGGUGCUGGAAGGUUAAGAGGGGAUGUCAUCGCAAGAGAAGCAUUGAAUCGAAGCCCCAGUAAACGGCGGCCGUAACUAUAACGGUCCUAAGGUAGCGAAAUUCCUUGUCGGGUAAGUUCCGACCUGCACGAAUGGUGUAAUGAUCUGGACGCUGUCUCAACCGUGAGCUCAGUGAAAUUGUAGUAUCGGUGAAGAUGCCGAUUACCCGCGAUGGGACGAAAAGACCCCGUGAACCUUUACUAUAGCUUAACAUUGAAUUUGGGUAAUUGAUGUGUAGGAUAGGCCGGAGGCUUUGAAGCAGGUACGCCAGUAUUUGUGGAGCCGCUGUUGAAAUACGGCCCUUUGAUUAUUUGAGUUCUAACCCGUUGUAACGGGGACACUGUUUGGUGGGUAGUUUGACUGGGGUGGUCGCCUCCAAAAGCGUAACGGAGGCUUCU
rnacentral:rRNA from 1 species